UAGGCUUUAGUUUUAAAUAUAAAACAUGUGACUUUUAAUCAUUAUAUUAUAGGUUCGAAUCCUGUAAGCCUUA
rnacentral:tRNA from 2 species